rnacentral:rRNA from 1 species
UACGUAGGCAGCGAGCGUUGUUCGGAAUUACUGGGCGUAAAGAGUGUGUAGGCGGUGUUCCAAGUCUGGUGUGAAAUCUCCCGGCUUAACUGGGAGGGUGCGCCGGAAACUGGAAUGCUCGAGGGUGGGAGAGGUAAGCGGAAUUCCUGGUGUAGCGGUGAAAUGCGUAGAUAUCUGGAGGAACACCGGUGGCGAAGGCGGCAUCCUGGACCAACACUGACGCUGAGGAGCGAAAGCCAGGGGAGCAAACGGG